UAAGUAGGCGGAGGAAAUGACACAAACAUGGAUUCACUGAGUAACUGCGAGUGACAUGUGAUUUGCUCACAGCUGAUAUUCUUUGCUGUCUGCUUUGACAUGAGGACUUUGAGUGCGGUGCCAAUGGUGGUGUAAGUGUGAGCCAUCUUGGAAAAGAGGAGAGUGUGCACUGACAAGGGUGAGAAGCCUGUGUGUGCUUGCAAAAUCUCCAUAUGGGGGUCACGCUUUGAGAAUCAUGCUCUUAAAGUGGGUGGUAGACUCUUCUCAAAGCUGAGUACAGAACUGGGACCGACAGGGAAGAAGUACCAUGAGGGAAGUGUGAAAAGGACUUUGGAAAGGGACUUAAAAGAGCCUGUACUUGCUGAAGGAUAUGCAUACAGCAUGCUUGCAUGUGAGAUGAUUGCUGUGUGUAUGAGUCUGACUUUGGCUGGAUGGCCAUGGCCGUGUGCCAUGGACACUUGGCCACCCAAUGUGUAUCCUCUUGUGUGUGCCAGCAUGUGGGAGACAGUCAGUGUUUGAGUGCAGUGGUUGCUGUGUCUGGGGAUACAUCAGAUGUGCACUCAAAGAUCUGAGCAUGUUGAGAAGCAGGUGCAGAAGGGCCCUCCUGUCUGUAUGACCCGUCUUGAAACACGGACCAAGGAGUCUAGCAUGAGUGCAAGCAUAUGGGACCGAAGGCUCUGUGUGCAAUGAAGGUGGAGUCCCAGAUUUGUGCAUGAGUGUUCAAACAAGCAGGAGGACAAGGUUUGAGUCUGAGCAUUCCUGACAGGACCCGAAAGAUGGUGAACUAUGCCCGGAAAGGGCCAAGUCAGGGGAAACUCUGGUGGAGGCUCGUAGCGUUACUGACGUGCAAAUCGUUCGUCACACCUGGGUAUGGGGGCGAAAGACUAAUCGAACCAUCUAGUAGCUGGUUCCCUCUGAAGUUUCCCUCAGGAUAGCUGAACUUGCAGGACUUUCACCAGGUAAAGCGAAUGAUUGGAGGAAUUGGGGGUUGCAGACCUUUGACCUAUUCUCAAACUUUUAAUGGGUGUGUUGUGUGGUUGCUUAGCUGAACCAACAGCUAAUGAUGACUCUUAGUGGGCCACUUUUGGUAAGCAGAACUGGCGAUGAGGGGUGAACCUGAUGAUGGGUUAAGGCACUGAAGUUCUUGCUCAUCAGAAACUGUAAAGGGUGUUGGCUCAUUCUGACAGCAGGUCGGUGGUCAUGGAAGUUGAAAUCCGCUUGGGAGUGU
rnacentral:rRNA from 1 species